UAGACUAGGAAUUGCACAAGCUUGGUGGUAACCUGAAUUCACCAGAUUUCUCAGGAGGAAACUGAGGCACAACUUCCCAAGCUCCAGUAAUGUAAGUGCAAUUUUCCUCUGACAGUUCUUGGGGCACUGUUGGCAUGGUGAUAAUGACAAGGAAGUGUCAUUAUUUUUUUUUAGUAACAGUAAGAGAAGCUAUUCAGUCAGGAUAUUGUUAAACAGAUGGAGUGGUUUUGGUUUUUGUAGAUACUAAAUACUGCUACAGUU